CUUAUUCAGAUAUCGACUAAAUUAGUGAGUUUCCAGCAAACUUGUACAACUUUAGAAAUUCAAGCUCUCAAGAUUUGUGGCCAAUGAAAGACCAGGGAUUUUGGUUAGAUGCUCAGUGACUUAGAUUUAUAUUUUUUAAGUUAACAAGGUGCUACAAACAUUUAUUCAAAAAAGUUAGCAUAUAUAUCUAUAGUUUCCUAAUAAAAGAGCAAUUACAGUAUAA
rnacentral:lncRNA from 1 species